UCGGCUCCUCCUUCCGCCGAACCCAGAGUCCCAGGGACGACCUCCUCCAGCCAUAAACGCAAAGUCCCCUUACCAAGGAACAAGGCAAGGCCGGUCAGUAAGUUCUUCUUGAUGUCUAAUUUAAAUCCCAAUUUGACGGACUGUCAAACAGCAUCAGCUAGGCAGCCGCCUCCAGCUGCGGCUCCUUGCUGCCCUCAAGUGGCCACGUCAUGAGCCACAACCCCCUCGUCCUGCGGGUUUCCUCUUUCCCAGGCCUGCCCACGCGUGGCCUCGACCUCCUGCCUUCUCCGGGGUCAAGGUGAAAGGUCCCAGGAAGGAUUCCAGCUCCGACCCCGGUGUCUUUACACAUUCCUCCAUCUGGGGUAACUCGUGGUCUGUCUUACAAAGUAUCUUGCAAGAAGAGCUCAGGGUGAAACAAAAACUUGGAAAUAGUAGAAGCAAACGUGUAAAUUUUAAUGUAAGCCUCUAGAACUUGAGAUCGUAAUCACCUGGAGGGUGUGUGUGUGUGAUUUGUUUUUUGAGACAGGUUCUCGAACGUUGCCUAGGCUGGAGUGCAGUGACGCGAUCAUAGCUCACUGCAGCUUCCAACUCCUGGACUCAAGCGAUAGGGAGGGUAUAUGAAAACAGAUCUCCGGACUCCACCCUCAAGUUUCUAGUUACCUAGGUAGGAGAUGAGGCCCGAGCGUACCCAGGUGAUGCUGCUGGUCCCAGGACCACAUUUUGAGAGCCAUUGCUGUUGAAUCCCCAGUUCCUUGCAGCCCUCACAGCUCCUCAUCUGCCACUAGGAGUAAAAGAAAACAGUUUAGGAAAAAUCGACACCCGAGACAAAAAGUUUAGGAUCUUGAAAAGAAAAAAACCAGCCCAGGGGGCACCCGGAUUUGAACCGGGGACCUCUUGAUCUGCAGUCAAAUGCUCUACCACUGAGCUAUACCCCCUCUGCCGGUAACCUCUCGCAGGCAGUCCCUUAGUGUUAUUGCCGCGCAGGCGCGGUGUGCUGCUCCCGAAGGGAAGUGGAAAGUUGGGUGGGACGUUUACAAGAGAUGGAAAAAAUACAACUCCCAGAAAAUUUACUCACUUGGAAUCAGGGAUUGUUUCCUGAAGUUCUGAGUUGAAGAUUCUCACUGAUGGUGUAAGUAUUCCUGGGGUAUGGAAGAAGAAGUCUCGAAAUCUCUCACUUCGGGGCGUCCCACUCUCGUGCCCUGCAGGAGCCCCCUUGCCAAGCCUCGGAGCUUCUUUCUCCCUCCCACAUGCUCACGCCUGUUCUCCGGGCCUGUCUUCCCCAGCCCAGCCUUUAGAAACUCAGCCUCCCUCCCGCGAUGGAAGAGCCGUCGUGGUCACUGGCCAGGCCGACCUGGGGGUGAGCCGCCUCCGCCCUGCCAUUGCGCACCGUGUUCCAAGGGUCAGCCCGGAGCUCCUCGCUUUCACUCGCACUGCUUUCUACCCUUGGGUAUACACACAGGCUGAGCCACUGGUAGGGACCAGGACUCUAUUCUCACUCGCCUGCAAAGGAAAAGAGGGUGGCAGGCCUGCGACUCCCUCCCGUUCCAUCUGUGAGGGAACUCCUUAGGGGACCUCCGGAGACCAACAAAACGAGAGAACUCCAGAGAGCAGAAGGGGACCCGAAUUCGAACCGGGAACCUCUAUGAUCUGCAGUCAAAUGCUUUACCACUGAGCCAUCCCCCCAUCACGCUGUACUGGUAACGGUCUUCUCUGUCACCCAGACUGGAGUGCAGCAACAUGAUCAGAGCUCACUGAAGCCUGGAACUCCUGGGCUCAAGUGAUUCUCCUGCCUCAACCUCCUGAGUAACUAGGACUACAGGUAUGUGCCACUACACCCAGCUUGUUUGUUUGUUUGUUGUAAAGACAGAGUCUCACUCUGCUGUCCAGGCUGUUCUCAAACUCCUGGGCUCAAGCCAUUUAUCAUUUCCUUUUUUUUUUUUUUUUUUUUUUUUUUUGAGACAGAGUUUCAUUCUUGUUGCCCAGGAUGGAGUGCAAUGGUGCAAUCUCGGCUCACCGCAACCUCCACCUCCAGGGUUCAAGCGAUUCUCCUGUCUCCACGUCCCAAGUAGCUGGGAUUACAAGCAUGCACCACCAUGCCCAGCUAAUUUUUGUAUUUUUAGUAGAGAUGGGAUUUCUCCCUGUUGGUCAGGCUGGGCUCAAACUCCCGACCUCAGGUCAUCCACCCACCUCUGCUUCCCAAAGUGCUGGGAUUACAGGUGUGAGCUGCCAUGCCUGGCCAUCAUUUUCUAACUGAUUAUAAUUUUUCUUGUUUAUCAUCUGCCUCCACUACUGGAAAGUAAGCUCCAUGAGGGCAGGGAUUUUUUGUCUGUUCUGCUCACUGCUGUUUCUCCAGUGCCUAGAACAGUACCUGGCACAAAGGAGAGCACCUCCAGAAAGAUUUGUGGACUGAAUUGUGUCAUUUACUCUACAGAAACUCUGGGAGGUAUAAUGAUCCUCCUCCUUACAGACAAGAAGUUGAAGGUCAGAGCAAGUCAAUGAUUUCUGCCUGGAAGGCUUGUUCCCCAGGUCUCCCCAUGGCUGUCUCCAUCUCUUCAUUCAGGUCUCAGCUCAAAAGUCACCUCUUAGGAGAGGCCAGCCCUGACUACCAGAACUAAAUCAGACCUAUCCCUCUCCCCUCUAUUACUGGUAUCCAGUGGGAUUCUUCACAUCACUUCUCAGAACCUAAGAUUAUUGCAGCCAGGCAUGGUGGCUCAUGCCUGUAAUCCCAACAGUUUGAGAGGCUGAGGCUGCUGGAUUACCUGUGGUCAGGAGUUCGAGACCAGCCUGGCCAAAAAGGUGAAACCCCACCUCUACUAAAAGUAUAAAAAUUAGCUGGACAUGGUGGCAGGUGCCUGUAAUUCCAGCUUCUUGGGAGGCUGAGGCAGGAGAAUCGCUUGAAUGUGGGAGGUAGAGGUUGCAGUGAGCCGAGAUCAUGCCAUUGCACUCCAGCCUGGGUGACAAGAGUAACACUUUGUCUCAAAAAAUAUAUGUGUGUGUGUGUGUGUGUGUGUGUGUCUGUGUGUGUAUGUAUUGCGUUUAGGUGGAGUGUUAUCUCUCUCUCCACUAGAACAAGCCCCUGCAAGCCGGGAUGCUGUCUGCUCGUGGCUUACCCACAACGUCUCAACUGCAGGGAGAUGCUCAGUUGGCUUGGCCCAGGAGCUAACUGUGAGCCAGAUUCUGACAGGAGAGAGACAGGAGGAAGAUUUUGAUGGUCAGUCAUCCAUUGGCUCAGCCAGGCCCUGGAGGUCCUGGUGGGGCAGCCACUAACCCUGCCCCAGUGAGGGCACAGCAGCCUUGUAUAUACCACGAGUGAUCUUUGAUGGUGCUGAGAGUAAGGAACUGGGAGAUCUUCACCAGGCUCACGGAGUCCUUCACGUCCUGCUUGUUGGCAAAGAUCAGGAUAGAAGCAUCCCGCAGAAGCCUGUGGACAGAGGGGCCCAGCCCCAGGUAGCCUGCUAGGGCCCAGCUUUCCUACUGCCUCACAGGUCCUCUCUUGCUCCCUCUCCAGCUAUCCUAGCAAGAGAGGCCCAUGCCGAGAUGGGGCAGAGAUGGGGAGCCCUGCCAAAGUGGUAGCAACCACAUCAAAUGACACCAGCAGUUCAUGGAAAGCCUCUUUAUGACAAUCCCAUAGAUGGGAAUUGAUCCCCCUCAGUUUCUCACUUGGGGAAACUGAGGAUCAGAGAGGGGAAGUCACUUGUCCGAAGUCCCACAAUGAAUGAAAGAUGGGAUUAGAACUUGAACCAGCACCUCUGGCUUCUGUAGUCAAUUGCACUGAGGGCACUGAUGCCCUUUGUCAGGCAUAAACCAGCCCUGCCCAUGCUGCUGGUGUAGAAGCUCUCAAAACCUGGGACAUCAGUAAUGAAUCUCAGAGAGGCUAAGUGACCAGCCUGAGGGCACACAGGUAGUACCAUUGGGAUCCCAACUGCAGAGGGCUUACCUUAUGGGCCAGCAUUUUAUAUAACUCCUCCGGGGCAGUCAGCAGCCAAUUCUGGUCCAUGUUUUCAAUCACAAAGAUGCUGAACUGGACAGCAGAGGGUAGUGUAAGAGGUGGGCUUUCUCUUUGGUAAACAUGUUUCUGCCCACUAUGUUUCCCCACUGGUCUCUGCACCAGCUCCAGAUAAAAGAAACCAUGCAGGCUCAAAAUCUCACCACCCUGCUUCCAUUAUAAUUGUCUUUUUUUCUUUCUUUUUUGAGACAGAGUCUCACUCUGUCACCCAGGCUGGAGCACAGUAGCGCGAUCUCGGCUCACUGCAACUUCCGCCUCCCUGGUUCAAGCAGUUCUCCCACCUCAGCCUCCCAAGUAGCUAGGAUUACAGGCACAUGCCACCACAUCCAGCUAAUUUUUGUUUGGUUUGGUUUUUUGCUUUUUGUUUUGUUUUGUUUUUUGAGACAAAGUCUCACUCUGUCGCCCAGGCUGGAGUGUGGUGGUGUGAUCUCAGCUCACUGCAACCUCCGCCUCCCUAGUUCAAAUGAUUUUCCUCCCUCAGCCUCCCAAGUAGCUGGGAUUACAGGCGUGAGCCACCACACCUGGCUAAUUUUUGUAUUUUUAGUAGAGACGGGGUUUCCCCAUGUUGACCAGGCUGGUCUUGAACUCCUGACCUCAGGUGAUCCACCCACCUCAGCUUCCUAAAGUGCUGGGAUUACAAGCGUGAGCCACCAUGCCCUGCCAAUCAUUAUAAUCUCUAUCUCACAAAUUGAGGAACCAAGGCUCAGAGAGGUUAUGUGACUGAUGUCACACAGCUGCCUUGGAGACCCUCCAGCCUGGUGCCCUCCUCACCUUGGUGUUGGAGUAAUAUGUGAUCCAGGUGGAGUGCAGAGCCUCCUGCCCCACUAGGUCCUACAUGAGGAAGUGGGUCUUCCGUGGAAUGAUCUCCACAUUGCUGCUGAUGGUGGAACACGUAUGGACCACUUCAUUGGUCAGGCUGGGGAGGUAGGAGAGGGCACCAAGAGCUCAGUCCAGCCUAUGCCCAUCUCUGGCCCCCAAAUGCUCUACUCCCAAAGCAGUCUGAAUCGAACUCAGAACAAGUCCACCCAGGUUCACUGAGCACCUGCUGGGGGCCAGACCCUGUGCUGGGCCCUGAGGAAUGAAGACAGGAGGGAGACCAAGCCCUGCCCUGGCUGGGACCCCAGAGAGGGGAAACAUCUUGCAGCAGUCUCCUCAAACUUUAUAUCUUUUUUUUCUUUUUAUAGAAAUGGGGUCUCACUAUGCUGCCCAGGCUAAUCUUGAACUCCUGGCCUUGGGCUCCUGCCAAGAGAUCCUCCUGCCUUGGCCUCCCAAAGUGCUGGGAUUACAGGCAUGAGCCACAGAAUCCAGCCUCCUUAAACUUUAAUACGCAGUUAAAUCACCUGAGAGUUUUGUUAAAACGCAGGGUCUGGCCAGAGUCUGGGCUGGGGCCUAGGGUUUUGCAUUUCUUUCUUUUUGAGACAGUUUCACGCUGUCGCCCAGGCUGGAGUGUAGGCACCAUCACACCUCCCAGGUUGAAGUAAUUCUUCUGCCUCAGCGUCUCAAGUGGUUGGGAUUAUAGGCGCAUGCCCCCCACACAUGGCUAAUUUUUGUAGAAAUGGGGUUUCGCCAUGUUGGAAACCCCAUUUCAUGGGCUAGUCUCAAACUCCUGACCUCUAGUGAUCCUCCUGUCUUGGUCUCCCAAAGUACUGAGAUUACAGGCAUAAACCACCAUGCCUGGCCGUUUUUGCAUUUUAAGAUGGAGUCUCCCUCUGUCACCCAGGCUGGAGUGCAGUGGCGCCAUCUCGGCUCACUGCAACCUCCGCCUCCUAGGUUCAAGUGAUUCUCCUGCCUCAACCUCUCCACCAGUAGCUGGGACUACAGGCGUCUGCCACCAUGCCCAGCUAAUUAUUUUUAUUUACUUAUUUUUUAAGAUGGAAUCUCACUCCUGUCACGUAGGCUGGAAUGCAGGUGGUACAAUAUCUGCUCACAGCAACCAUCCACCUCCUGGGUUCAAGCAAUUCUCCUUCCUCAGCCUCCUGAUUAGCUGGGAUUACAGGCAUGAGCCACUGCACCAGGCCUUUUUUUUUUUUUUUUUUUUGUAUUUUUAGUAGAGAUGAGGUUUCACCAUAUUGGCCAGACUGGUCUCGAACUCUUGACCUCAGGUGAUCCACCUGCCUCAGCCUCCCAAAGUGCUGGGAUUACAGGCAUGACCCACCUCGCCAGACCACAGUUUUGCAUUUCUAAUAAGCUUUCAGAUGAUGCCUAUGUGACUGGUCUGCAGACCACGCUUUGAAAAGCAAGAGUUUAGAAAAAUGAAACAGACACAGUGAGGGACAUCAGAGAGAUGCUUUGUUUAGUGACAUAGAAAACAUACACAUGCUUUUAUAUGCAAAUAAUGAUUCUGGGCCAGGCUCGGUGGCUCAAGCCUGUAAUCCCAGCACUUUGGGAGGCCGAGGCGGGUGGAUCACAAGGUCAAGAGAUCGAGACCAUCCUGGUCAACAUGGUGAAACCCCGUCCCUACUAAAAAUACAAAAAAUUAGCUGGGCAUUAGCAUGCCUGUAAUCCCAGCUACUCAGGAGGUUGAGACAGGAGAAUUGCUUGAACCCAGGAGGCAGAGGUUGCGGUGAGCCGAGAUCGCGCCAUUGAACUCCAGCCUGGGUAACAAGAGCGAAACUCCGUCUCAAAAAAAAAAAAAAAAAAAAAAUUCUGAAAAGUUACUGCAAAGUUACAAUAGGAGGAAAACUAGGGGCUAGAGUGCAGAAGGAAACUUACUUUUCACUGUAUAAUCCUCCAUUGUUCGAAAUUUUCCUUUAUAUAUUUUUAAAAUCAUUUGCCUGUAUUCCUUUUUCAUGAAAAAGCUUGUCCUAAGUAAAGUACUUUGGAGAAUCUAAAAUGGGAGCGGUACCACCAUCCAGAGGGCGAAUAUCGGGGAAAGCUGCGAUCGGCAUUUACUCAGCACCACCCACAUGUGCCAGGCUUGCUAGACCAGGAGCUACCAGGCCUCAUGAGCCUUUGGGUUUGAAGAAGGGGAAGAAAGUUAACAGGCAGAGGGGGCAGGGGUGAGAAAGGAGGAACCUGACGCUAGAGGGAGCAAAGUGCAGAGAGGCAGGUUGGGACACUUGGCAGGCCUGGAGCUGAGUUUGGCAGCGUUCCCGAGAAGAUGGAGCAAAGCAGUCGGAGCUACGGUUGCCCGUACCGUGCAGGAUUUUAAAGCCAGACCGAGAAGCCGCAGUGUUAGGAAGAUCCAAGCAGCUUUCCCGAAGUCACUCCUCCGGACUACAGAGGAGCCCGGGAGCCCUGAGAAGAGCUCCAGUGAUUAGUCCCCAUGCCUGUCAGUCUGGUGGGAGGCCCAGCCCUCUACCCUCGCCGCCCGAGAGUCCCUUACAACUGGUAGCGAAUGGUGGUCUUUCCUGCGUUGUCCAGUCCCACGAUGAUAACCUUGUGUUCUGGAAGCAUCAGAGGAAGGGCAGCGUCAGGGCCAAACCUGAUGACCAAGGGACUGUGUGCCCCCACCAGACCUCCCAGGAAGGAGAGAGCGCCCCCCGCAGGCUGGAGACCUCUGGCCACCGUACCGCGUCUGCUUCCCACCCAGCCCGGACGCCUGCGCCACUCUGGGACCGUGGAAAAAACAGCUGAGCCCCCACCUCCCUUCACAUUCUAGAAAAGUGUCUGAAAGGUCCAGGGCGCCUCUGGGCUUGCCAAGAGGCAGUGUCUGGAGAAAGAGCCGAACGUGAAGUCACAAUCUCAGGAAACCCGCAGCGGCUCCCUAUCCCAGCCUCUGGUGCCGUUUAGCGGGAAGGAAGGAGGCUCGCCUAGCCCUGCGUCCUGGGGCGCACCGAAGCCCGGGGACCCAGGAGGAGCAGGCGGGGACGGGGGCAGAGGAGACCGCCGGGCAGGCAAGGAGCGCCCACACACGACUAUUGGAGCCCGAGGUCCUCCAUGUGUCCGACCCCAGAUCAGAGGAGGCCCAGAAGAGAGCGAGAUCAAAGCGCUUGCUUGGAUGUUCGGUGCGUACCGUACCCCGGUUCCCAAAGAUGCUCAUUAACUUGGCUAUCAGCUGUCUCGGCACUUCCCGGGCCGGGCAGGUACAGGAGGACUCAGCGGCCUCGGGAGCCGGGUCGGCCCUGGUGCUCGGAGCUCCGCACCCCGCACCCCGCACCCCGCCCCCAGGGAGAGUCUGGCAUGCUUCGCCUAUGAAGCUGGGGAAGCCCCACGCGUCACCACCAGACCUGGGAACCCUCUGAGACGCUGGCCCUUCGCGAGCGCUAUAGACAUCCCAGUGACUAUGAGCUACCUGUCCAGGGUCCGAGAGGUCCAAGGAAUAAGGGGGGUUUCCAGCCUCCAGCUCUCCCUACGCCCUUCGAAAACUCCAGGAUUCUCCCGCUGAACUGCUCCACCACCGCAAAUGGGGGAGACAGCACUGCGCCCGGAACCGGAUCCCAGCUCUCCCUCCUCUGAGUGCCAUGUCUAGGGCACUAGACAAGAAAAACCCCAGGCGACCCACUUUCUGUACCUACCAGCUGUAUAGGACAGACGGGGCUCACCAAUCCUCUCUGAGCUGGGAGAAUAUUCCAACCCUCCACGGAUCUUCACUCGGUUCACUAGCGUGGGUCUUGCGGGCUUUCUCAAAGUGCGUUCCCCUGGGGAAGGGCAGGGUCUCCCUUUGGUGCUGGGCAACUUCUAGAAUAAAUCAGUGCUCCCGCAAUUCACUGACAAAUCCGCUGCUCAGGCACAGCUUCCUGACCCCCAAAAUUGGGGAGCAUGAAGAGAGAUCCUCCAGCUGGAGACCCUGCAGAGAGGCCCCAGAUACCUGGCAGAGGAGUACAGGGACCAACAGAGAACCAGGAGGCGAGGAGGAGGGAGGGAAUCGAAGGGGGAGUUUCUGUGAAUUUCUUUCUUUGCUUAAGCUGGGAAAAAAAACAGAAAACAAAAAGAGAAGUCGAAAAGGCAAAUCAUCCUCUGGCUUUGGGGGUGGUUAACAGGGAUCCUUCCACCCCACUGCACUGCCCUACUACAACCUCCACUAAGGUAACAGCCCUCUAUGAAGGUAACAACUCUUUUUUAUUUUUACUUUUUUGGAGAUUGGGUCUUGCUCUGUCACCCAGGCUGGAGUGCAGUGGUGGAUCUCGGCUCACUGCAACCUCCUCCUCCUGGGUUCAAGCAAUUCUCCUGCCUCCACCUCCUGAGUAGCUGGGAUUACAGGUGCCCACCUGUAUGCCAGGCUAAUUUUUGUAUUUUUGUGUGUGUGAGUGAUGAAGUCUCACUCUGUCAUUCAGUUUGGAGUGCAGUAGUGCAUUCUCGGCUCACUGCAACCCCUGCCUCCCAGAUUCAAGCAAUUCUCUCUCAGCCUCCCAAUUAGCUGAGACUACAGGUGCGUGCCACCACACCCAGCUAAUUUUUGUAUUUUUAGUAGAGACAGGGUUUCACCAUGUUGCCCAGGGUGGUCUUAAACUCCUGACCUCAUGAUCUGCCCGCCUUGGCCUCUCAAAGUGCUGAGAUUACAGGCAUGAGCCACCACGUCUGGCCAGUAACAACUCUUUAACUGGUCUCCCUGCCUCUACCUCUCCUUUCCCAGGGCAUCCUCCCCCAUGGUCCUAAUUAACCUUCCUAAAGCACAGCUCAGAGUCUGUAACUCCAUCAGCUCAUAAACCUUCAAUGGCUCCCUAUUGCUCACUGGAUUCAGAUGAGUCUCCACCUGACGUUCAAGACCCUCCAUGAACAGCCCCCACCUGCCUUCGCAGGCUUGUCUCCCAGAUCUGCAUCUAUUGCUUCCUGCCCCCACAUGCCCAGCUCUUUCUGACUGUGCCUUUGCUGCUGCAUUUCCUCCUUGAGUGCCUUUCACUUUCUCAGAAAGGAGAAUGCCUGAGACCCUUUAGCUCCCCUCCAUAAAAGUCACCUGCUUCCCCAGCCCUGGCUUGGUUCUCCAGCCACAUGGGGCUUCUCCCUACAGUGGGAUUAUAGACAGGCAAAUCUGUUUCCUCCCAUCAACUGUGCAUCCUAGGGUGGGGUUGAUAUUUUGUUCACCAGCAUGUGCCACCCCCUCCCUGCAUGGUCCAGAGCCCGGCACACAGGAGGAAUGUGUUGUUAUCAGACUAAGGCAGAAUGAGUUAAACUACAGCCUGAGAAAUGGCACUCAGAGUAUUAAAAAAGGAAGGUGAACACAAGUUUAAGAGGAUUGAGGAAGCCUGGGAAGUUUGCAAGAGAAAGAAGGAAAAUAGCUCAGUAAAUACAGACUUGCAUCCCACCCAGCUUGGUGCGGAGUUAGAAGGAUAGAGUUGACAGCCAGAGUCCAUCUGGGCUGAUUGCAUUUCAGCCUCUGGAGACAAGGAGCUAAGACCUGGGGCUGGUAGUGGGGCACCAACUGCGCUGAGGGAAGCAGCCUUGUCUUAAGCAUUUUACCAUCUGUUUCCCAGGAGUAGUGGGUGGGGGGAGGAACCUCUGAGCGCAUGCUGCCCUCCCCACUUCCUCUUUGCAGAAUUGAAAGUGACACUCUGCAAGCCGGAAAUACAUUCAGAAAACAGACAAGGAGAGCAGAUUUCUCUGAGCAUACUCUGGCUUGGGAGGCUGCCUGAUUAAAAAUAAUAAUAAAAUAAUUAAAAGAGAAAAUAAGAAAA